GAGUUUGAUCUUGGCUCAGAUUGAACGCUGGCGGCGUGCUUAACACAUGCAAGUCGAGCGGUAACAGGUGUAGCAAUACAUGCUGACGAGCGGCGAACGGGUGAGUAAUGCUUCGGAAUCUUCCUCGUAGUGGGGAACAACCUGGGGAAACUCAGGCUAAUACCGCAUACGAACUACGGUUGAAAGCAGGGGAUCGCAAGACCUUGCGCUAUGAGAUGAGCCGAAGUCGGAUUAGCUAGUUGGUGGGGUAAAGGCCUACCAAGGCGACGAUCCGUAGCUGGUCUGAGAGGACGACCAGCCACACUGGAACUGAGACACGGUCCAGACUCCUACGGGAGGCAGCAGUGGGGAAUAUUGGACAAUGGGGGCAACCCUGAUCCAGCAAUGCCGCGUGAGUGAAGAAGGCCUUAGGGUUGUAAA
rnacentral:rRNA from 1 species